CAGCUCUUAGAGACUCACCCAGAAGGACUCACAGCUCUUAGAGACUCACCCAGAAGGACUCACAGCUCUUAGAGACUCACCCAGAAGGACUCACAGCUCUUAGAGACUCACCCAGAAGGACUCACAGCUCUUAGAGACUCACCCAGAAGGACUCACAGCUCUUAGAGACUUUGUGCCUGGUCAACAACAGAGAGGGUAACAGCUAAUGUGUCUAUGUCUUUAUGCCUGGUCAACAACAGAGAGGUUAACAGCUAAUGUGUCUAUGUCUUUGUGCCUGGUCAACAACAGAGAGGGUAACAGCUAAUGUGUCUAUGUCUUUGUGCCUGGUCAACAACAGAGAGGUUAACAGCUAAUGUGUCUAUGUCUUUGUGCCUGGUCAACAACAGAGAGGGUAACAGCUAAUGUGUCUAUGUAUUUGUGCCUGGUCAACAACAGAGAGGGUAACAGCUAAUGUGUCUAUGUCUUUGUGCCUGGUCAACAACAGAGAGGUUAACAGCUAAUGUGUCUAUGUCUUUGUGCCUGGUCAACAACAGAGAGGGUAACAGCUAAUGUGUCUAUGUCUUUGUGCCUGGUCAACAACAGAGAGGUUAACAGCUAAUGUGUCUAUGUCUUUGUGCCUGGUCAACAACAGAGAGGUUAACAGGUGUGUCUAUGUCUUUGUGCCUGGUCAACAACAGAGAGGGUAACAGCUAAUGUGUCUAUGUCUUUGUGCCUGGUCAACAACAGAGAGGUUAACAGCUAAUGUGUCUAUGUCUUUGUGCCUGGUCAACAACAGAGAGGUUAACAGCUAAUGUGUCUAUGUCUUUGUGCCUGGUCAACAACAGAGAGGG